AGGACGAACGCUGGCGGCGUGCCUAACACAUGCAAGUCGAACGGGGGUAGCAAUACCCCAGUGGCGAACGGGUGCGUAACACGUGAAGAACUUGUCCAUCGGCGGGGGAUAGCCGGCCCAACGGCCGGGUAAUACCGCGUACGCCGUCUGAAGCGCAUGCUUCGGCCGGGAAAGCAGCAAUGCACCGAUGGAGAGCUUCGCGGCCUAUCAGCUAGUUGGCGGGGUAAUGGCCCACCAAGGCAACGACGGGUAGCUGGUCUGAGAGGAUGACCCAGCCACAUUGGGACUGAGACACGGCCCAGACUCCUACGGGAGGCAGCAGUGGGGAAUAUUGCGCAAUGGGGGAAACCCUGACGCAGCGACGCCGCGUGUGGGAUGACGGCCUUCGGGUUGUAACCACUGUCGCGAGGGACGAAAAAAAUGACGGUACCGUCGAAAGGAAGCACCGGCUAACUCUGCGCCAGCAGCCGC
rnacentral:rRNA from 1 species